AAGAAGGUUGUAAUUCAGGAUCCGGCUGACGAGUCUGUUGACAAGUUAGCAGAGAAAACUGAAAGUUUGUCAGUUUCUGAUGGCUUGGAGCCUACCACAUUUUCUGGACUUAAGAAGAAGAAGAAGAAACCAGUAGAGGCCAUCUCCUUGAACGACGACGGUGCAGAUGCCACAGAGGAUUUGGACGGUUAGCA